ACCUGGAGAUAGCUGGUUCUCUCCGAAAUAGCUUUAGGGCUAGCCUCAAGUGAUGAUUAUUGGAGGUAGAGCACUGUUUGGACGAGGGGCCCCUCUCGGGUUACCGAAUUCAGACAAACUCCGAAUGCCAAUUAAUUUAACUUGGGAGUCAGAACAUGGGUGAUAAGGUCCGUGUUCGAAAGGGAAACAGCCCAGACCACCAGCUAAGGUCCCAAAAUAUAUGUUAAGUGGAAAAGGAUGUGGCGUUGCCCAGACAACUAGGAUGUUGGCUUAGAAGCAGCCAUCAUUUAAAGAGUGCGUAAUAGCUCACUAGUCGAGUGACACUGCGCCGAAAAUGUACCGGGGCUAAACAUAUUACCGAAGCUGUGGAUUGUCCUUUGGACAAUGGUAGGAGAGCGUUCUAAGGGCGUUGAAGCAUGAUCGUAAGGACAUGUGGAGCGCUUAGAAGUGAGAAUGCCGGUGUGAGUAGCGAAAGACGGGUGAGAAUCCCGUCCACCGAUUGACUAAGGUUUCCAGAGGAAGGCUCGUCCGCUCUGGGUUAGUCGGGUCCUAAGCUGAGGCCGACAGGCGUAGGCGAUGGAUAACAGGUUGAUAUUCCUGUACCACCUAUAAUCGUUUUAAUCGAUGGGGGGACGCAGUAGGAUAGGCGAAGCGUGCGAUUGGAUUGCACGUCUAAGCAGUAAGGCUGAGUAUUAGGCAAAUCCGGUACUCGUUAAGGCUGAGC
rnacentral:rRNA from 1 species